AGUGAAACGCCGUAUAUUACAUCGAAGUACUGCUUGAGAUACCUGUGGUUGUCCGUUGAAGUAGUACUGUACUCGUUCGCUAACUGGACUGGAAGGGCAACCCAAUUGUCGAAUUCCACUUGCUAACUAGGCUUCCAAACAGUAAGCGCAAAACUUCAAAUAAAUAAAAAUGCCCUAGCAGUCCAGUUAAAGUAGCAUCAGUGGUAUUUUACCUGAUUGAUACUCGAGUUCUCCGAAUGCGCGGUGGUAUUGGGGAGAUGUACAGUAUGUGCCAUUCGGAGCAAAGUAUCCGGCGAUUCUUCCGAAGUGUCAUCCAAUAACAACUCUCAUUACGGACUUCUACCGCCAAUGAAGGCAGGGCGCAUCCAGGUGAAGCGCUUUUUACCUGCUUAACGGUUUGCGCAGUGCACAUUGAGAUUUAUUAAUCGUAGAGGGCAGUGUUCUAUUCCGACAAUGGCAAAUGCUUCCAAGGAGCCAGCUUCGGGACGAUAAAUCGGCAAUUAAUGAGGCCAUGGUAAAUACUUUCACGAACGCGAGAACCGCUUGGGAAUUCAACGGGAACCCAUGCAGAAAGCGAGGGUAGUGGAUAUGUUGUACUCCGUAGAAGCUGAAGGAAACAAGCACGGAGUUUUGGAAGAGAUGGAUUAGUGAGAUGGAAUCGUAAGUUCAAAUCGAUCAUUAUUGUUAUUUGUAAAACUGCAUUGAAUAUAUAUUUUUAAGUUCAAGCUUAUACUAAUAGGCGGUCGUUUGCUUUCGAGGUUUGGUGACACAAUCCCACAGUAAUUUUCACAAACAUCCCUAAUCAUGAUCUAACAUUUUUUGCAGUGAUUAAAUCCACAACCCAUGUCGAAUAGUAUGGCCAGUUGUGAAAACAAAAAAUGAGUUGUGAAUAAACGACAACUCAGCUCAACUUUGGGACACUUUUACAGCAUUGCUGUUGAAACUGUUGAAAUUGCUGAAAUUGCAGUUGAAAUUGCUCAGCUUCAAGUAAACACAUCGCUUGGAGUGGACCGAUAUUCAGGUUCUUCAGAUGGGAGUCCAUUUUUUUUUUGUAUUCGGUCAGGAAAAAUACUUACAUUAAAUAGCUCCAGGAGUUUUUCUUUUGUUGGCCCAAGAAGUUCGGCGAUUUCCGACAUUGCCGCGAACUCGCGCAAUAGCUUUUCCUCCCGAGAAAUACCGCAAUAAGGUGUAAUGUCCCCAACAAUGCUUUCAGCGAGGUCAUGAACUAACGCUAUGGAGAAAAUAAUCAUGUACACUGUGUAUAUGUGUAUUUUUUUAUAAACACACCUAGUUCCAUUACUCGUAUUCGAUCAAUUGCUUGAUUGCUAUCGAGUAAAAAUGACAUCAUUCCCAUUCGAUACAUAUGGCCGGAUAUUGUCUCGCACUCGGACACAUUUCGCAGCACCC